AUUUCUUACGAUGACCUGCGACAUCACGGCUAUGGUACUCUAUUCCGACGUACGCAACGACAUGGCAACGUGGCUUUAGGAUUUCUUGUUAGAAUUAAGUGUGCAGCACACAAGUGGUCAAUACCACAGACUCAAUACGGUCAUGCUGAGGAUGUAUGGGGGUAUGAAACACUCUGGAUCUGUGGGAGACAAAUGAAAAUAUUUAUUUAAUUAUUAGAUGGUGUACAAAAGGUAUUUCAAUGUUAAAUACAUAGUAUGUCUGUAGAAAAGAAAGUGUAUACGAAAGGUGUCUCAUAUUAAUAAGCUAUUAAACAAACAGACCAAAAAAACACAGUAUAAUAUUUUUGAACAAUAUCUACCUGUUUGCCAGUAUGCUAAAGGCAUUCUCGAAUGUAUGUCUUACCCUGCUCAGUCGGUAUUUAUAGAUGUGCUCAUGUGAUUUCGUGCAGGGUAUUGUUUCAUCACAUAAUUCUUCAGAGCGAAGGCAUCAUCGCCAAUGAAGAACUAGGGGACUGGGGGUUUAUCUUCAGUCUCGUUUGGCAAUCUUUCUGGGAGAGGAAGACCAGUUUCAUUCCGAUCAAGCAUUUGACAGAGUUGUGUCUUGGCAAAGACACCACCAUCAGACUCGGAUCCUAUGGCACCUACGUAUAUUUAUGUACAGUAACUUAACCCUUAUUCAGUAUCAACAACUCCAAGCAGAAUUACAGAGUAGAAUUUCCUGUAGUUGAAGUACUGAGUUCCUCCUUGCAGUGGAUUCUGGAUUCUGAUGUGUUUACCGUCUACUUCUCCAAGGGUGUGUGGGAAAUUCCAGCGUUCUUCAAACCCACAAGCUACUUCUUCAAUUGGGCUAGUGGGUAACUACAAUACCGCAGAUUGUGUUGAGAGCUACUCGGAAUUGGAAUGACAGGCUCUUGUAAGAUUCUCCAGAAGGACAGGCUCUUGUAAGAUUCUCUAGAAGGACAGGCUCUUGUAGGACUCUCCAGUUGCAAGGAAACGCAGGGUAAUUGCAACACGCAGGUCUGAGGUUUCUCUUGAUGUAGGGCGAGGCCUGUUCAACCAUUUAAUUGAAAAGCUCCUCUGUAAUCCUGGUAAAGUUCUGGUACAGUCCUGGAGCUUUAAUUGCCAAUUCUUCCAUCAAGAUGUUGUAGUAUCUUUAGCUUCUUGUGCUUUCGUUUGUCCUGCAGGCACUUCAUUACUUUUAACUGCAACAGGGCCACAUCUAGCACCUCCUUUUGCUGUAUCUUUAGCUUCUUGUGCUUUCGUUUGUCCUGCAGGGACUUCAUUACUUUUAACUGCAACAGGGCAUAGUAAUGAUCCAACAUAAACAGUGCUAAUUCAGGAUCAUGUAAGUUGUCAACUAUCACUUCCAUAAAUUCCAGGUCCUUUAUCUUGUGCCUCUAUCUGCGCCAGGAAUGAGAAUGAGUGCCGAACUCUCACCUCCUGCUUUAUAUAUACAAUCCAUGUUCAUGACAGUUGCGUAUGUCGCCAUGUUGUUGUGUACAUUGGAAUGUGUCUUAAGUAUGUCAUAAUUACCUUCAUGGCAGUCGCCGUCUGUAAAAAACUGUUUGAAAGUUCUUUGGCGUAGAUCAUUGGUGACAUACACAUACGACUACGUACGUACGUCGGUAAUCUCAUCUUGACGUAUGUAAUGUUGUAAUCAGCUUAUUUAUUUUUUUGUAGUCCAAGGCCUGCGAAUGAUGCCAAACCAAGCCAGUUGUGGUCUUGAAUCUUCGAUGUGUGAUUUGACCUUAAUUCUUUAGAUUUCUUUGACAUGCUUGUAAGUAAAGACAGAAAUAUCACUUUUUCGACAUCAGUAUACAGGAAACCAACAUUUACAGGACUCACAACUAAAUUUUCUUUGUUCAUUCCUAUAGUUUACAAACGUAAUUUUAGUCUGUACACUCGCAACCCGUGCUUAUUUAACAUUUGCUCAAGUUAUUUAAAGGUGGGAUCACACAUUGGUGACUCGAGCCCACGACCGUCAUAAUGGCUUGGUUUGAUGUCAGUCACGGGCCUUGGGCUACAAAAAAAGAAAAAAAUCAGCUGAUUAUGGCAACUUUAUGAUGCAUGCACUAUACAAUUAUGCCAGCAUUACGUACAUCGAGAUGAGAUUUGUGAAAUAUGUAGACAUACACGUAUGUCGCUGAUUAUCUAGGCCACACCCACUUUUGACAUUUUUUUAGGGACGGUGACUGACAUAAAUGCAAUUGCGUUAAACGUAAGUCAGUUACAACAUAUGUAACAUAGAAUCAGACAUAAGCGAUGUACAUAAACUGUGUCGUGAACAUGUUGCAAUAUAUAUUAAAGCGGGUGAUGAGAAUUUAGCACUCAUUCCUGUUCCAGGCACUGCUGACAGAGGCACAAGAUGGACGAACGGGAAGUUGUGAAGCCUAAGCAAUAUCCUGAAUUAGCACUGGCCAUGUUGGAUCAUUGCUAUGCCCUGUUGAUGUUAAGAAUAAUGCAAAUACUGUAGGAACAAAAGCGAAAGAUGCAAAAGACAUGAAGCAGGAGAUUGGGAAGAGAGGGGAAAGGUUACAUACUCUACACGAAAUCUGACAGCACAUGAGCGCAUCUUUAAUUACUGACUGAUCUGGGCAAGAUGUAGGCCUACAGUGGAGACUGCCUUUGGCAUACUAGCAGACAGAUUCAAUGUAUCAAACUGGCAUAAAUCUUCAGCAUGACCGUAUUGAGUCCGUGGUGUUGGUCGCUUGUUUGUUGCACAACUUAAUUUUAACAAGAUAUCCUGCCACGAAUGAGGCAGGUCAAGAAGACUCGGUGACACACGAGGCCAUAACUGGUCAAGGCUCAACGAGAUCACCUUCGUGAUUAUUUUAACUCCCCUGCAGGCUCCGCUAAUUGGCAAUAUACAAUGAUAUAAAACAAGAAAGCAAUAAGAUCAUUCCUGUAAAUGCUAUAUAAAACUUAAUAGAAAUAACUUUGUAAAUAUUAAAAUAAAUUUAGAAAUUACAAAA